UUCCUUCUUUCAUAGUAUAAAAAAAUAACUUUAACAGCAAUCUAUAUAGGUAAGCCACGUGUAUGUGUGCGUCAGAGGGAUCCUUCAAACAUUUUCUGAGGACUAAACAAAUGUCCGAAAAUACCGUAAGGUAUUUUCGAGGACAAGACAUCUGGCGUGCACACGCAGUGCAAUAAAACCAUCCAUCAAUUAUUAUCUGUUUUGGGUAGUAUGGCGCAAUAAUUGAAUA